rnacentral:rRNA from 1 species
CUGGGGCGCUUACCAUGCAGUCGAACGGGCGUAGCAAUACGUCAGUGGCAGACGGGUGAGUAACGCGUGGGAACGUACCUUUUGGUUCGGAACAACUGAGGGAAACUUCAGCUAAUACCGGAUAAGCCCUUACGGGGAAAGAUUUAUCGCCGAAAGAUCGGCCCGCGUCUGAUUAGCUAGUUGGUGAGGUAAUGGCUCACCAAGGCGACGAUCAGUAGCUGGUCUGAGAGGAUGAUCAGCCACAUUGGGACUGAGACACGGCCCAAACUCCUACGGGAGGCAGCAGUGGGGAAUAUUGGACAAUGGGGGCAACCCUGAUCCAGCCAUGCCGCGUGAGUGAUGAAGGCCCUAGGGUUGUAAAGCUCUUUUGUGCGGGAAGAUAAUGACGGUACCGCAAGAAUAAGCCCCGGCUAACUUCGUGCCAGCAGCCGCGGUAAUACGAAGGGGGCUAGCGUUGCUCGGAAUCACUGGGCGUAAAGGGUGCGUAGGCGGGUUUCUAAGUCAGAGGUGAAAGCCUGGAGCUCAACUCCAGAACUGCCUUUGAUACUGGAAGUCUUGAGUAUGGCAGAGGUGAGUGGAACUGCGAGUGUAGAGGUGAAAUUCGUAGAUAUUCGCAAGAACACCAGUGGCGAAGGCGGCUCACUGGGCCAUUACUGACGCUGAGGCACGAAAGCGUGGGGAGCAAACAGGAUUAGAUACCCUGGUAGUCCACGCCGUAUACGAUGAAUGCCAGCCGUUAGUGGGUUUACUCACUAGUGGCGCAGCUAACGCUUUAAGCAUUCCGCCUGGGGGAGUACGGUCGCAGAUUAAACUCAAAGGA